UUUUUCAAAAUACGCAACGGAAAAUCACAUUUAAUUUAUUGAAUAUCGGUUCGAGUAUUACACUCCUCUAUCAAAAUAAUACUAAUGUAAUUAAUUAGUAAAAAUAGUGUUUAUACAAAUCUUUGAAUCAAAUAAUGUAUUUAUUGAUUAUACAAAUCAACCUAGACAAUAGACUUUAUAUACAAUGUAAAACCCUUUCCCGUGUCACAAUCAGAGCGGAGCUUCAUCGACGACUCGACAUCGAAUACCACAAAACCUGUAAAUCUGGACCCCCAACGGUCCAGCACAUAACACAUAAAAGAGAGUUAGGAAACAUACUCAAAAUAUAAGUGUAAGUAAAU
rnacentral:lncRNA from 1 species